rnacentral:rRNA from 1 species
AUUGAACGCUGGCGGCAGGCUUAACACAUGCAAGUCGAGCGGGGGAAGGUAGCUUGCUACCGGACCUAGCGGCGGACGGGUGAGUAAUGCUUAGGAAUCUGCCUAUUAGUGGGGGACAACAUCUCGAAAGGGAUGCUAAUACCGCAUACGUCCUACGGGAGAAAGCAGGGGAUUUUCGGACCUUUCGCUAAUAGAGGAGCCUAAGUCGGAUUAGCUGGUUGGUGGGGUAAAGGCCUACCAAGGCGACGAUCUGUAGCGGGUCUGAGUGGAUGAUCCGCCACACUGGGACUGAGACACGGCCCAGACUCCUACGGGAGGCAGCAGUGGGGAAUAUUGGACAAUGGGGGGAACCCUGAUCCAGCCAUGCCGCGUGUGUGAAGAAGGCCUUAUGGUUGUAAAGCACUUUAAGCGAGGAGGAGGCUACUCUAGUUAAUACCUAGGGAUAGUGGACGUUACUCGCAGAAUAAGCACCGGCUAACUCUGUGCCAGCCGCCGCCGUAA